rnacentral:rRNA from 1 species
AUUGAACGCUGGCGGCAUGCCUUACACAUGCAAGUCGAACGGCAGCACGGGAGCAAUCCUGGUGGCGAGUGGCGAACGGGUGAGUAAUAUAUCGGAACGUGCCCAGUCGUGGGGGAUAACGUAGCGAAAGCUACGCUAAUACCGCAUACGAUCUAUGGAUGAAAGCGGGGGAUCGCAAGACCUCGCGCGAUUGGAGCGGCCGAUAUCAGAUUAGGUAGUUGGUGAGGUAAAGGCUCACCAAGCCGACGAUCUGUAGCUGGUCUGAGAGGACGACCAGCCACACUGGGACUGAGACACGGCCCAGACUCCUACGGGAGGCAGCAGUGGGGGAUUUUGGACGAAUGGGCGCAAGCCUGAUCCAGCAAUGCCGCGUGCAGGAUGAAGGCC